UACGUAGGGUCCAAGCGUUAUCCGGAAUUACUGGGCGUAAAGAGUUUGUAGGCGGACUUUUAAGUCGAGUGUUAAAUAUGCGGGCUCAACUCGUAUGCUGCACUCGAUACUGGGAGUCUUGAGAGUGGAAGAGGUAAGCGGAAUUUCCGGUGGAGCGGUAAAAUGCGUAGAUAUCGGAAAGAACACCAAUGGCGAAGGCAGCUUACUGGGCCAUUUCUGACGCUGAGAAACGAAAGCGUGGGGAGCGAUCGGG
rnacentral:rRNA from 1 species